GAUGAACGCUGGCGGCGUGCCUAAUACAUGCAAGUCGAGCGAACAGACGAGGAGCUUGCUCCUCUGACGUUAGCGGCGGACGGGUGAGUAACACGUGGUUAACCUACCUAUAAGACUGGGAUAACUUCGGGAAACCGGAGCUAAUACCGGAUAAUAUAUUGAACCGCAUGGUUCAAUAGUGAAAGACGGUUUUGCUGUCACUUAUAGAUGGAUCCGCGCCGCAUUAGCUAGUUGGUAAGGUAACGGCUUACCAAGGCAACGAUGCGUAGCCGACCUGAGAGGGUGAUCGGCCACACUGGAACUGAGACACGGUCCAGACUCCUACGGGAGGCAGCAGUAGGGAAUCUUCCGCAAUGGGCGAAAGCCUGACGGAGCAACGCCGCGUGAGUGAUGAAGGUCUUCGGAUCUUAAAACUCUGUUAUUAGGGAAGAACAAAUGUGUAAGUAACUAUGCACGUCUUGACGGUACCUAAUCAGAAAGCCACGGCUAACUACGUG
rnacentral:rRNA from 1 species